rnacentral:rRNA from 1 species
CCCAAGGGUAUGGCUGUUCGCCAUUUAAAGUGGUACGCGAGCUGGGUUUAGAACGUCGUGAGACAGUUCGGUCCCUAUCUGCCGUGGGCGUUGGAAGAUUGAAGGGGGCUGCUCCUAGUACGAGAGGACCGGAGUGGACGAACCUCUGGUGUUCGGGUUGUGUCGCCAGACGCAUUGCCCGGUAGCUAAGUUCGGAAUCGAUAACCGCUGAAAGCAUCUAAGCGGGAAGCGAGCCCUGAGAUGAGUCUUCCCUGAUACUUUAAGUAUCCUAAAGGGUUGUCGGAGACUACGACGUUGAUAGGUCAGGUGUGUAAGUGCUGUGAGGCAUUGAGCUAACUGAUACUAAUUGCCCGUGAGGCUUAACCAUACAACACCCAAGGGGUUU